GGCCAGUUAGCUCAGUGGUUUGAGCACGGUGCUGGCAACACCGAGGUCGCAGGUUCAAUUCCCUCUGGGUCC
rnacentral:tRNA from 1 species